UAGGAUGUGGUCUAGCUGGCAUGACGGUCCCUUUUGGUGGGACAGGGCGACUGUUCGAAUCAGUCCAUCCUAG
rnacentral:tRNA from 4 species